rnacentral:rRNA from 1 species
ACCUACGGGGGGCAGCAGUGGGGAAUAUUGCGCAAUGGGCGAAAGCCUGACGCAGCGACGCCGCGUGAGGGAUGAAGGUCUUCGGAUCGUAAACCUCUGUCAGCAGGGAAGAACGGUCACUGUGCUAAUCAGCAGUGAAUUGACGGUACCUGCAAAGGAAGCACCGGCUAACUCCGUGCCAGCAGCCGCGGUAAUACGGAGGGUGCGAGCGUUAAUCGGAAUUACUGGGCGUAAAGCGCUCGUAGGCGGUAUGUCAAGCCAAGGGUGAAAUCCCCGCGCUCAACGUGGGAACUGCCUUUGAAACU